rnacentral:rRNA from 3 species
AAAUUGAAGAGUUUGAUCAUGGCUCAGAUUGAACGCUGGCGGCAGGCCUAACACAUGCAAGUCGAACGGUAACAGGAAGCAGCUUGCUGCUUUGCUGACGAGUGGCGGACGGGUGAGUAAUGUCUGGGAAACUGCCUGAUGGAGGGGGAUAACUACUGGAAACGGUGGCUAAUACCGCAUAACGUCGCAAGACCAAAGAGGGGGACCUUCGGGCCUCUUGCCAUCAGAUGUGCCCAGAUGGGAUUAGCUUGUUGGUGAGGUAACGGCUCACCAAGGCGACGAUCCCUAGCUGGUCUGAGAGGAUGACCAGCCACACUGGAACUGAGACACGGUCCAGACUCCUACGGGAGGCAGCAGUGGGGAAUAUUGCACAAUGGGCGCAAGCCUGAUGCAGCCAUGCCGCGUGUAUGAAGAAGGCCUUCGGGUUGUAAAGU